rnacentral:rRNA from 1 species
GAUGAACGCUGACAGAAUGCUUAACACAUGCAAGUCAACUUGAACUUCGGUUUGGGUGGCGGACGGGUGAGUAACGCGUAAAGAACUUGCCUCACAGAUAGGGACAACAUUUGGAAACGAAUGCUAAUACCUGAUAUUAUGAUUUUAGGGCAUCCUAGGAUUAUGAAAGCUAUAUGCGCUGUGAGAGAGCUUUGCGUCCCAUUAGCUAGCUGGAGAGGUAACGGCUCACCAAGGCGAUGAUGGGUAGCCGGCCUGAGAGGGUGAUCGGCCACAAGGGGACUGAGACACGGCCCUUACUCCUACGGGAGGCAGCAGUGGGGAAUAUUGGACAAUGGACCGAGAGUCUGAUCCAGCAAUUCUGUGUGCACGAUGAAGUUUUUCGGAAUGUAAAGUGCUUUCAGUUGGGAAGAAAAAAAUGACGGUACCAACAGAAGAAGUGACGGCUAAAUACGUGCCAGCAGCCGCGGUAAUACGUAUGUCACAAGCGUUAUCCGGAUUUAUUGGGCGUAAAGCGCGUCUAGGUGGUUAUGUAAGUCUGAUGUGAAAAUGCAGGGCUCAACUCUGUAUUGCGUUGGAAACUGUGUAACUAGAGUACUGGAGAGGUAAGCGGAACUACAAGUGUAGAGGUGAAAUUCGUAGAUAUUUGUAGGAAUGCCGAUGGGGAAGCCAGCUUACUGGACAGAUACUGACGCUGAAGCGCGAAAGCGUGGGUAGCAAACAGG